rnacentral:rRNA from 1 species
AUGGACAAGGGUCUUCACCCGAAAACCCGGCACGGAGAGGAGAACCACAAUGAUGUCCUUAAGAGCAGAGUUGCGCAUGUAGGCAUCGCCCCCAUAGUCGCUAAAGCUUGGAGCUUUCGCUCAACAGCUCACCCGUGCCAGGAAGGCAUCCAUGGCAACCGUGACGAGCACAUACCUCCAGAUACAGAUGUGGGCGCCACCACCAACAAUGACGUGGCUCAGGCGCUGCGGGAGUUCUUGCGGCCCGGAAAAAGGCAUUCAGCUGAGGCGUCCCUCCGUCUCGACGCACGGCUUGCCCUUGCUGCGUCGGUUCGCCGGCAGUGCGCGCACUGGCGGCAGCGAGGGAAACGCCGGGCGGUCCGCGAAGGCGACGAAAAUACCAAGUUCUUCCACGCCUCCGCCUCCACCCGACGACGACGCAACACCAUCGGCACGCUGGAAGUUGGAGGGGUGCAGGUGGUGGACCAUGCUGGCAAGGCCGCCGCCUUGCUGGGCUUCUACUCGGCUCUGCUGGGCCGGCCCAGGCCGCCCACCUGGAGCUUCGAUCUGCCAGCGCUCUACGUCGACGCCCCUGUGGUUGACGGGGCGUCGCUGGUGGCUCCGUUCGACCACGUCGAGAUCAAGGCCACGGUCCACGCCCUGGAUCGCACCAGCGCCCCGGGCUCGGACGGGCUUGGUCCUGCCUUCUACCAGGCGGCGUGGGCGGAGGUGGCGUCGGACAUCCACCGCCUCUUUGCAGAGUUCCAUGCUGGGACUGUCCGCCUCGAUGGGAUCAACAGAGCCUACAUCACCCUCCUGCCCAAGAAACCGGGCGUGCCGACCCCGGCUGAUUUCCGGCCCGUCUCGGUUCAAAACGGCGACGUCAAGAUCCUCUGCAAGGGGCUCACGAUGAGGCUUCAACGGUAA